rnacentral:rRNA from 1 species
AACGAACGCUGGCGGCAUGCCUAACACAUGCAAGUCGAACGAACCCUUCGGGGUUAGUGGCGAACGGGUGCGUAACGCGUGGGAAUCUGCCCUUUGCUUCGGAAUAACUCAGGGAAACUUGUGCUAAUACCGGAUGAUGUCUUCGGACCAAAGAUUUAUCGGCAAGGGAUGAGCCCGCGUAGGAUUAGGUAGUUGGUGGGGUAAAGGCCUACCAAGCCGACGAUCCUUAGCUGGUCUGGGAGGAUGAUCAGCCACACUGGGACUGAGACACGGCCCAGACUCCUACGGGAGGCAGCAGUGGGGAAUAUUGGACAAUGGGCGCAAGCCUGAUCCAGCAAUGCCGCGUGAGUGAUGAAGGCCCUCGGGUCGUAAAGCUCUUUUACCAGGGAUGAUAAUGACAGUACCUGGAGAAUAAGCUCCGGCUAACUCCGUG